rnacentral:rRNA from 1 species
UACGUAGGGUGCAAGCGUUAUCCGGAAUUAUUGGGCGUAAAAGAGCUCGUAGGCGGUUUGUCGCGUCUGCUGUGAAAACCCGAGGCUCAACCUCGGGCCUGCAGUGGGUACGGGCAGACUAGAGUGCGGUAGGGGAGAUUGGAAUUCCUGGUGUAGCGGUGGAAUGCGCAGAUAUCAGGAGGAACACCGAUGGCGAAGGCAGAUCUCUGGGCCGUAACUGACGCUGAGGAGCGAAAGUGGUGGGGAGCGAAACAGG